AAGCGCUGCAUAUCCUUGAUGGCGCUAGAAAGGAUCUGGGCUGACUGCAUGGUGGACAUCUGUCUGCUAGCCUGGGACAGGACACCAAAUAUGAGCAUGAACUCUCAUCUGAAUCUUAUGCUGAUCUGCGGCACGCAGCCGCAACCGAGUCCCUGCCCACUUCUCGGCUGAGUACUGGUCCAUUGGUGUGUGCACUGUGAAAUAAGCUGAUCCAGAGACCUCCUCUCUAUGUGCACGGCAGCUGGCGUUAGGCAAAUGAACCGCUUCAACUCCCACAUUGUAGUAUUUGAAGAACUCUUCAUCCACCAGGAUGGAAAUGAAGUCUUUGCCACACGUCACAUUCAUUGUUGCGACUUUAAAAGAAAAUUGUCCAUUUAAAACAACAUGACAAAGAAAACAGCUGGUUUAGUCUUAGUACUUGGCAAAAAGCUUGCAUGGGGCUGGUAGAUAAAUUUAAACAAUCUAAGCAAAUCAACUGGUUUAAGCAGUCUCUUUCAGCAAGGCUGACUGUCCUUUACCCUGGUCACAGAGAUCUCCGAAGUAGCCAACUGCACAUUUACAAGUUUGCCUCAGCGACAAAAUGCAGGUGGCCGGGUCAGAACAUUGUGAUAUCUCACAU